rnacentral:rRNA from 1 species
UAAUACAUAAGCAAUCUGCCCACCAAAGAACUGGGAUAACCUCUGGAAACGGGGACUAAUACCGGAUAGGUAGGAGAGAGGCAUCUUUCUUCUAUUAAAGAUGAGAAGCACUAGUGGAUGAGCUUAUGGCGCAUUAGUUAGUUGGUGAGGUAACGGCCCACCAAGACGAUGAUGCGUAGCCGGCCUGAGAGGGUGAACGGCCACAUUGGGACUGAGACACGGCCCAG